UUAGUUGUUCACAUUUCUGAUAAACAGAAAUUUGUAUCCAGUUUUGCGUUUUGUCAUGAGGCUCUAAGACUCUUUUAGUGACCCUCUCAGUUCUGUUUUUUCGUCUAAAAGUUGUAAUAUUUGAAUGGCCACCUGCUAAUCUGGGGUGGAGCUAAAAAAUCCGAAAGCUUACAUCAGUCAGUCUUUAUUAUGUGAAAGAGAAACACAGCUUAUAUCCAUUUUCACCUACUGGUAUCUGUUGUGAGAUGAAGGGGGACUGGGUGUGUGGAGUGGCCUCUGGCUGUUGUGCAGCUAUGGCAGCUUUCAGUCUCAAGUGCAGUGGCAAUACUAUCCGUUCUACCUGGGAACAACUCGCGCAGACUUUUGGGUCCAAUGAAAAAACUGACCUUGUUGGGAAUUUGAACGGAGAAAAAAUAAUGCUGCUCGUGCAAAAGAUAUUGACAGUUUGUGUUCUGCUGUCGCCUGCAAUCAUUUUCAAUGUUUUGAUGACGUAUUUAAUGGCCCGAAGUUUUGCCCUUUCUCCUUCUACCCUCGUGCCCAUGGCCACCAACUUGGCUGCCAAUCUCUUACUUACGGGAACCCUGGGCUGCUUGGCGUUUGGAGAGAUAGUGGGAGUUAAUUGGUGCCUUGGCGUUUUCCUUAUCAUCUGCGGAGUGAUAUUGUUCAAC